ensembl:lncRNA
UUUUUUUUUUUUUUUUUUUAAUUGAUAGGGCUGAGAGGUUAGGAACUUGCUUAAAGUCACAGAUAUUAUCAUAACCUUCAGUUUUAUCCUUGGAUAUAUUAUAAGACCAACAAAAUAAAAAGAGAUUGUGAACACUGAAUAAGAAGCAGUCAACAAGAGACCUUUGCCUCUUUUUUUAUUUUAUUUUUUGUCUUUUUGCCAUUUCUUGGGCCGCUCCCAUGGCAUAUGGAGGUUCCCAGGCUAGGGGUUGAAUUGGAGCUGUAGCCAUCGGCCUACGCCAGAGCCACAGCAACGCGGGAUCCGAGCCGCGUCUGCAAGCUACACCACAGCUCACGGCAACGCGGGAUCCUUCACCCACUGAGCAAGGGCAGGGACAGAAUCCGCAACCUCAUGGUUCCUAGUUGGAUUAGUUAACCACUGUGCCACGACGGGAACUCCACCUUUGCCUCUUGAAGGCAUCUUCAAAUAUAUUAGAUUAGAUUAAAAAGGAGCUUAGACAGCCACCAACUAGGCUCACAUGUCUCUCAUGGGGCCAGAUGACCUCCACCCAGCACUGCAAACCCUAUUCAUUCCAGCGACACAGAACAUUAAUGACAGAAAACAUUAAAGCAAAAUUACGUUCCAUUAAAUAUAUUUAUCAAGGCAGAGAAGACAGACUCAUGGAGCUGACAGGGACUUCAAUUUUACUUUGGUCAAUCUUGUUUUUGAAAGUAAAAUUAUAAACCCACACACUGAGAGAAAAUAUUUGCAAAUCAUUUAUGUGAUAAGGGAUUAAUAUGUAGAAUUAUAUAGAGGUUCCCUACAACUCAACAAAACAAUCUGAUUCAAAAAUGGAAAAAGAACCAAAUAGACAUUUCUCCAAAGAUAUACAAAUAGCCUAAUAAACACAUGAGAAGAUAACAUUAGGGAAAGGCAAAUCAAAACCACAAUGAGAUAUCACCUUAAACCUAUCAUGAUCCUAUUAGGAUGGCUAUUAUCAAUGAAACAAAAAGUUAACAAGUGUUGGGCAAGGAUGUUGAGAAACUAGAAACUUUGUGUACUGCUGAAUAAGCAAAAUGUGGAAACUACAUGCAAUGGAAUAUUAUUUAGCCUUAAAAAGGAAGGAAAGUCUUGUUUUGUUUCUUCUUUUUUCGGCUGCAACCACAGCAUGUGGAAGUUCCCAGGUCCAGGGACUGAAUCUGAGCCGCAGUUUCAACCAACACCACAACUGCAGCAACACUGGAUCCUUAACCCAAAUGCACCAGGCCAGGGAUCAAACCUGUGCCUCUUCAGAGAUAAAGUCAGAUUCUUAACCCACUGCACCACAGCAGGAACUCUGGAAGGAAAUUCUGAUUUUGGCCGCAACAUGGAUUAACUUUGAAGACAUUAUGCUAAAUGAAAUAAGUCAGUUACAAAAAGACAAAUACUGCAUGAUUCCACUUCCAUGAGGCACUUAGAGUAGUAAAAAUCUACUAGUAGUAGAAAAUAGAAUCGGGGGAGGAAGGGAAUGGGAAGUCACUGUUUAACAGGUAGAGAAGUUCAGUUUUGAAAGAUGAAGAGUUAUGGAGAUGGAUGGUGGUGACAGAAGCAUAACAGUACAAAUACAUGUAAUACCAUUGAAAGAUAUACUUAAAAAUGGUUAAAAUGGGAGUUCCUGUCGUGGCGCAGUGGUUAAUGAAUCUGACUAGGAACCAUGAGCCACGACGGGAAUUCCUGGGUUUUUUUCCAAUUCUUUUUACUCUUAGGAUAUAUCCAACUCAAGAUACCCUACAAAAAAAAAAAAA